rnacentral:rRNA from 1 species
UACGGAAGGCAGCAGUGGGGAAUAUUGCACAAUGGGCGCAAGCCUGAUGCAGCCAUGCCGCGUGUAUGAAGAAGGCCUUCGGGUUGUAAAGUACUUUCAGUCGUGAGGAAGGUGUUAAGGUUAAUAACCUUAGCAAUUGACGUUAGCGACAGAAGAAGCACCGGCUAACUCCGUGCCAGCAGCCGCGGUAAUACGGAGGGUGCGAGCGUUAAUCGGAAUUACUGGGCGUAAAGGGCACGCAGGCGGUUAAUUAAGUUGGAUGUGAAAUCCCCGGGCUUAACCUGGGAAUGGCAUUCAAGACUGGUUAGCUAGAGUCUUGUAGAGGGGGUUAGAAUUCCAUGUGUAGCGGUGAAAUGCGUAGAGAUGUGGAGGAAUACCGGUGGCGAAGGCGGCCCCUGGACAAAGACUGACGCUCAUGUGCGAAAGCGUGGGGAGCAAACG